rnacentral:rRNA from 1 species
UUCGUAGGGUGCAGGCGUUAAUCGGAAUUACUGGGCGUAAAGCGUGCGCAGGCGGUUUCUUAAGUCAGAUGUGAAAGCCCCGGGCUUAACCUGGGAACUGCGUUUGAAACUGGGAGACUUGAGUGUGGCAGAGGGGGGUGGAAUUCCACGUGUAGCAGUGAAAUGCGUAGAUAUGUGGAGGAACACCGAUGGCGAAGGCAGCCCCCUGGGUUAACACUGACGCUCAUGCACGAAAGCGUGGGGAGCAAACAGG